AGAGUUUGAUCAUGGCUCAGAUUGAACGCUGGCGGCAGGCCUAACACAUGCAAGUCGAGCGGUAGCACAGAGAGCUUGCUCUCGGGUGACGAGCGGCGGACGGGUGAGUAAUGUCUGGGAAACUGCCUGAUGGAGGGGGAUAACUACUGGAAACGGUAGCUAAUACCGCAUAAUGUCGCAAGACCAAAGUGGGGGACCUUCGGGCCUCAUGCCAUCAGAUGUGCCCAGAUGGGAUUAGCUAGUAGGUGGGGUAACGGCUCACCUAGGCGACGAUCCCUAGCUGGUCUGAGAGGAUGACCAGCCACACUGGAACUGAGACACGGUCCAGACUCCUACGGGAGGCAGCAGUGGGGAAUAUUGCACAAUGGGCGCAAGCCUGAUGCAGCCAUGCCGCGUGUGUGAAGAAGGCCUUCGGGUUGUAAAGCACUUUCAGCGGGGAGGAAGGCGUUAAGGUUAAUAACCUUGGCGAUUGACGUUACCCGCAGAAGAAGCACCGGCUAACUCCGUGCCAGCAGCCGCGGUAAUACGGAGGGUGCAAGCGUUAAUCGGAAUUACUGGGCGUAAAGCGCACGCAGGCGGUCUGUCAAGUCGGAUGUGAAAUCCCCGGGCUUAACCUGGGAACUGCAUUCGAAACUGGCAGGCUAGAGUCUUGUAGAGGGGGGUAGAAUUCCAGGUGUAGCGGUGAAAUGCGUAGAGAUCUGGAGGAAUACCGGUGGCGAAGGCGGCCCCCUGGACAAAGACUGACGCUCAGGUGCGAAAGCGUGGGGAGCAAACAGGAUUAGAUACCCUGGUAGUCCACGCCGUAAACGAUGUCGAUUUGGAGGUUGUGCCCUUGAGGCGUGGCUUCCGGAGCUAACGCGUUAAAUCGACCGCCUGGGGAGUACGGCCGCAAGGUUAAAACUCAAAUGAAUUGACGGGGGCCCGCACAAGCGGUGGAGCAUGUGGUUUAAUUCGAUGCAACGCGAAGAACCUUACCUGGUCUUGACAUCCACAGAACUUAGCAGAGAUGCUUUGGUGCCUUCGGGAACUGUGAGACAGGUGCUGCAUGGCUGUCGUCAGCUCGUGUUGUGAAAUGUUGGGUUAAGUCCCGCAACGAGCGCAACCCUUAUCCUUUGUUGCCAGCGGUUAGGCCGGGAACUCAAAGGAGACUGCCAGUGAUAAACUGGAGGAAGGUGGGGAUGACGUCAAGUCAUCAUGGCCCUUACGACCAGGGCUACACACGUGCUACAAUGGCAUAUACAAAGAGAAGCGACCUCGCGAGAGCAAGCGGACCUCAUAAAGUAUGUCGUAGUCCGGAUUGGAGUCUGCAACUCGACUCCAUGAAGUCGGAAUCGCUAGUAAUCGUAGAUCAGAAUGCUACGGUGAAUACGUUCCCGGGCCUUGUACACACCGCCCGUCACACCAUGGGAGUGGGUUGCAAAAGAAGUAGGUAGCUUAACCUUCGGGAGGGCGCUUACCACUUUGUGAUUCAUGACUGGGGUGAAGUCGUAACAAGGUAACCGUAGGGGAACCUGCGGUUG
rnacentral:rRNA from 1 species